UAGUGGGGGAGUAUCAAGAUGAGUUUGAGGAUUUAAGAAUAAGGAUGGAGAGGCUAUUACCUAAUUUGGGGGAAUCUUACUUUUUGUCAGGAUUUAUAGAAGGUUCAAAAGAUGAAAUCAGAUUAAUGGUAAAGAUGAUGAAACCUAUCACUCUUUCCCAAGUUGUGGAAAUAGCUAGAUUGCAAGAACAAUUGUUAGAAAACACCAAGAAACUUGGAUCUGCAACUAAUUCUUUCAAAUUCAAAGCCAUAACUAAUAGUCCAACAACUCAUUCCAUUUCUUCUUUCCAGUAUUCCAGACCUUAUCAAACCUAUCAAUACCCUCCUAAACCACCAAAUUUUGAUUCCCAAAAUAAACUCAACCCCAUUGUAACCAAGCAACAAUCAGUAGGCAGUACUGCUACAGCUACUAAUACUUCCACAGCAGCCUCAAAACCUAACAACAAUCAGUAGGCAGUACUGCUACAGCUACUAAUACUUCCACAGCAGCCUCAAAACCUAA
rnacentral:misc_RNA from 1 species